rnacentral:lncRNA from 1 species
UCAGGGACUGUGUCUGUAAACACGAUGUUUAACUAAGAAAACUUACGUACUUCUUUAUGUUCUGUAAUCUGGAAGAACUUAAGAAGCACUCAAAUGAUAUGGAAUUUCAAAUACAUAUCACAAUAAUUACAUUUUUUCUCAUAAAAUAUUUAAUACAAAUAUAUUUCACUGGUCAUGUGAUAAGUGUCCACCAAUGAGAGAGUAGUAUUCUAACGGCCUCGCAUGAAACGUACUCUUGAUAUGAGUAGCCAUUGUUGCCCUAAAGGGGACUGUUUUAUAAAGAAAAUCUGUUUUAAUUAUGGAAGCGGAAGGCCAUCCUACCAUGUUGGGAAGUAAAAAGUCUACACGAAACGUCUCAAAAGGGUACUAUAACGUUAUUUUCAAAUUAUAUUAACUCAUAAAGUAUGUUUGCGCCGAUUAUAGAAUGGCUGUACGAUUUCAAGGACAGGUAUCUCGGUUUCAACUUUUACUACCGGAGAUGCCGUACUGAUAUAAAUGUAGAAAUAGAAGGAUUUGUGCAGGAACUUUUAGGUUGAUCCUGUUGUGUUCCCCCCUGAAGUUUUGUCACUCAUAGCUUUUGAAAUUUCAAAGUUACAACUGAUGUACAUUUAUAAAUUACUAAGACUUAAAUGAAUACUAAUUUGUGAAAUGAGAAUUUUUUUCUACCAUGAACCCUAGUCGAGAGAUACUGCUUGUGGAGCAGAUAUCAAAAUACUUCAUACUAGGCAGGGAGAAAACUCUGCCUAGAAUAAAGUACUUUGAAAACUCAAAAUUUAAAGCUG